rnacentral:tRNA from 1 species
GGAUUUGUGCCUGACCUAAUAGGGUUACUUUGAUAGAGUAAAUCAUGGGGGUUAAAAUCCCCCCAAAUCCU